UUGAAGGAUUAUUGAUGAAUAAUUUUUCACAAAAAAUUGGAUUUUAACCACGAUAGGAAAAUGAGAACCUGCGCCUAUCCGUUUAAACCGAUUGUAGAAUUUAUGGAAAGAUAUGGCGAUCUGAGUAUGCCCACUGAAGGGCCCCAAGAAAGAGCCAACAGUAGUGAACGGUGGGUGGAACUAACGGACACGCGAACGUGAAAUGCUGAUGCCACCGGCGACACGAAAACUACUGAGAAAUUGAGAAAAGUGUGGAGUGACUUUAAACAGCAAGAAGAAGGCAACUCGCAUACACAGAGCUGCCAAGGGAACACUGGACUGGUGGCGGUCCAGGUUCUUCCCUGAAGCCAAAGGAUUUAGAGCAGAGUGCUUGUAAAUAACUACUUGUAAAUUAAAUCCAUAAUAAAGACCUAGGGUAACUGGAUGGAUAUACCUACCUACCUUAUUAUUGUAAAACUUAAGAUAUUAUAAUUAAUUAAAUACAUUAUAUUGUUUUAAUCUUUCAUGGUCACUAAACAUACAUGGUAGCAAUCUCGUCAGUAAUAAUAAUUAAGUAAAUACAUAUCCUACUAAUAUCCUACUUAAUAUUAAAAAUGCGAAAGUUUGGAUGUCUGGAUGUUUGUUACUCUUUCACGCAAAAACUACUGAACGGAUUUUGAUGAAACUUUACAUUAUUAUUGUUUA